UUCUAUAUGUAAUUCAAUUCUAGUCUUUUUUGAACAUUUCUGGUGUUUUCUGAUUUUUUUAAAAUAUAUUUUUAUUUUUCCUUUUUUUUUUUUUUUUAAACUUAAAAUGUUGUCAUGGGAAUUCAGUCUAGGUACUGUCACAGUAUUAAGACAGUAGAGGAGAGGAUGGAGGUGAUGGAAAGGUGGCAGAGAAGCAAAAGUAGAUUCAGCAGAGAAACCCUACAGAAUACAAGGCAGACUGAAAUUUAAAUUUGUAUUAGUCUUUGCAUCAAAGCAGCAAUGAAGUUUAAAAUGCUUUGUUUUGCUACAAAAUCAGCCGCUGAACUUAAAGCUGAUGUGUCCAGGGCUGUGGCGGAAGAGAUGUGCUGUGCAGCAAUUAGUGGUUAUUGACCACGGCAAGGAUGGAGGCAUGAUUAUUCUCCUGAGGCGGAGCAGUGCGGCUGCCGAGGAGCGCAGCCGGCCGAACCCGGCCGCAGAAGAAUCUGGUCUGGACACAAGAUGGCACCAGGGACCGGCCUCUCUGGGAAGCCGGGUGCCUUCCCCACCUUUAGCCUCAAGCCUGCAGCAGUCACAGGUUUCAUCAAUCCUUUACAACUGGAAAGUGGAGAAUUUACGGUGGACACACAGGACAAAAAGAAAAAUGCUGUCUUACCUUCUGCUAAGAUUGGGGAAGAAAUCUUUUAGCUUUUGACAUGACUAUAAUAUGAUAUACUUGAUGAUUGUCAUCCAGACCAGUUGAAAAUGAAAGGUCAAAUCCAACUCAUUUUAGUCAUGUAAAGGACCCUACAAAGUCAGUUUGACUAAUGUUCUUCAGGGAGAGAAAUUUAGCUUUCAGCAUUAUCUGGAGAGAAAGAAAGUGUAAAGCCAUUGCUUCCUCAGAAUUGCAGUUAAAGACACAAAAAAGAUUUACAAAUGACUUUGAAUUCCUUCAGUUAGAAAAAAAGGGCUAGUUUGACUGAAGUAUCUGAAG
rnacentral:lncRNA from 1 species